rnacentral:lncRNA from 1 species
GCGGGAACAUCGGCGGGAGGAGCAGCGACAGGUGCAGCAGCAGGAGGGGGAGUAGCAGCCGGUGGAGGAACAGCUGGAGGUGGUGAGCUCACCGGUGGAGGAGUGGCCGGAGGUGGUGAACUGACUGGAGGAGUGGCCUGAGGAGCAGCUACAGUGGGAGGAGUGGCAGUUGGUGGAGAUGCGGUGGGAGUAGGGGUGGCUGGGGUGGCGGUGGGAGUAGGGGUGGCUGGAGUGGCGGUGGGAGAAGCGGAGGGAGAUUGGGCUCCGACGCCGGCGACGAUAAUGCAGGUGAAUGUGAGGAGGAGGAGAGUGUUGCGAUUCAUUUUGAGAGAGAGACAGAGAGAGAUGGG